CAUUUAUUGAAGAAUUGGAUAUGGUUAUGGAUAAGGCAUGGAAGAAAUUCGAGGAAACAAGGUCACCAAAGUCACCGACAGUUGCAGAUUUGAGAUCAAAGGAAGAGGAAAAAGAUAAGAACAAAGAAGAGAGAAAUGAAGAGAAUAAAGACAAAAACUUGUUGAUUCCCUCACCAGUAGUUGGUAAUUUCACAUUAUUUUCAAAUUCAUUUUUUAUGUACUAAUAUUUACUAGAUAUGUUCUAAUAUUACUUCUUAUGCUCUAAAUUUUUUCUGGUUAUGCUUUAAAGUUAAUUCUUAAUUUUUUAUAUUCUAACUAUUUCUAGGUUGUCUCCUAAUUGUAUAUAUUUCUUAUGUUCUAAAGUUACUUUUUAUUUUCUAAUUAUUUUUUGCUAUUUGCUAUAAUACUUAAUUUUUAUGGUGUAAUUGCUAUGAAGAUUUGGGAUCAAAAGAAGAAGAAAAAGAGCAGGACAGAAAAGAGAGAAACGAGGAGGAAAAAAUUGAGAAGAAAGAGAAAAGGAAUGAGGAGUCACCAAAAACCCCAAUUCCUCCAAAAAAGAAGCAACCUUUUGAUAUAACUCCUCCAAGUUUCAACUUAUUGACCCCCUCACCAGCAGUUGAAAAUCAAGAAGAUAAUGAAGCAGAACUCAUUUACGAAGAAGUGACAGCAAAUGUUCUAAAUUGUGCUUUUCUAAAUCCAGAUCAUCCACCUACAUUGGAUGAAGAGGAGAAGCAAGAAGAGGAAAAAGAGGAGAAGAAAGAAGAGGAAAAAGAGGAGAAGAAAGAGGAGAAGAAAGA